ensembl:snRNA U6 U6 spliceosomal RNA
GUGCUCAUCUCAGGAACACAUAUACUAAAUUGAAAGGAUACAAAGAAAUUAUCAUGGUCUUUGUUAAUGGAUGGCAUGCAAAUCCAUGAAGUAUUCUAUUCUUUU